rnacentral:snRNA from 1 species
GGAUGUGAGGGCGAUCUGGCUGCGACAUCUGUCACCCCAUUGAUCGCCAGGGUUGAUUCGGCUGAUCUGGCUGGCUAGGCGGGUGUCCCCUUCCUCCCUCACCGCUCCAUGUGCGUUCCUCCCGAAGCUGCGCGCUCGGUCGAAGAGGACGACCAUCCCCGAUAGAGGAGGACCGUUCUUCGGUCAAGGGUAUACGAGUAGCUGUGCUCCCCUGCUAGAACCUCCAAACAAGCUCUCAAAAUCUGUCAAUAAUGUAAACUUUUCUAGAAAAAUGGAAGACUGGAGGAGGAUCCAAGAUGGCGACUAGAAUGCAGAAGCAGACAGAGUGAGCUCCAUAAAUCAAUAAUCUUGCUG